rnacentral:rRNA from 1 species
GGAGGAAAGCAGGGGAUCGCAAGACCUUGCGCUAAAGGAGCGGCUGAUGUCUGAUUAGCUAGUUGGUGAGGUAAAGGCUCACCAAGGCAACGAUCAGUAGUUGGUCUGAGAGGACGGCCAACCACACUGGGACUGAGACACGGCCCAGACUCCUACGGGAGGCAGCAGUGGGGAAUUUUGGACAAUGGGCGAAAGCCUGAUCCAGCCAUGCCGCGUGAGUGAAGAAGGCCUUCGGGUUGUAAAGCUCUUUUAGUCGGAAAGAAAAGAUCAUAAUGAACAAUUAUGAUUCAUGACGGUACCGACAGAAAAAGCACCGGCUAACUACGUGCCAGCAGCCGCGGUAAUACGUAGGGUGCGAGCGUUAAUCGGAAUUACUGGGCGUAAAGGGUGCGCAGGCGGUCUUGCAAGUCAGAUGUGAAAUCCCCGGGCUUAACCUGGGAAUUGCGUUUGAAACUACAAGGCUAG